rnacentral:rRNA from 1 species
GAUGAACGCUGGCGGCGUGCCUAAUACAUGCAAGUCGAGCGAACGGACGAGAAGCUUGCUUUUCUGAUGUUAGCGGCGGACGGGUGAGUAACACGUGGAUAACCUACCUAUAAGACUGGGAUAACUUCGGGAAACCGGAGCUAAUACCGGAUAAUAUUUUGAACCGCAUGGUUCAAAAGUGAAAGACGGUCUUGCUGUCACUAAUAGAUGGAUCCGCGCUGCAUUAGCUAGUUGGUAAGGUAACGGCUUACCAAGGCAACGAUGCAUAGCCGACCUGAGAGGGUGAUCGGCCACACUGGAACUGAGACACGGUCCAGACUCCUACGGGAGGCAGCAGUAGGGAAUCUUCCGCAAUGGGCGAAAGCCUGACGGAGCAACGCCGCGUGAGUGAUGAAGGUCUUCGGAUCGUAAAACUCUGUUAUUAGGGAAGAACAUAUGUGUAAGUAACUGUGCACAUCUUGACGGUACCUAAUCAGAAAGCCACGGCUAACUACGUGCCAGCAGCCGCGGUAAUUCGUAGGUAGCAAGCGUUAUCCGGAAUUAUUGGGCGUAAAGCGCGCGUAGGCGGUUUUUUAAGUCUGAUGUGAAAGCCCACGGCUCAACCGUGGAGGGUCAUUGGAAACUGGAAAACUUGAGUGCAGAAGAGGAAAGUGGAAUUCCAUGUGUAGCGGUGAAAUGCGCAGAGAUAUGGAGGAACACCAGUGGCGAAGGCGACUUUCUGGUCUGUAACUGACGCUGAUGUGCGAAAGCGUGGGGAUCAAACAGGAUUAGAUACCCUGGUAGUCCACGCCGUAAACGAUGAGUGCUAAGUGUUAGGGGGUUUCCGCCCCUUAGUGCUGCAGCUAACGCAUUAAGCACUCCGCCUGGGGAGUACGACCGCAAGGUUGAAACUCAAAGGAAUUGACGGGGACCCGCACAAGCGGUGGAGCAUGUGGUUUAAUUCGAAGCAACGCGAAGAACCUUACCAAAUCUUGACAUCCUUUGACAACUCUAGAGAUAGAGCCUUCCCCUUCGGGGGACAAAGUGACAGGUGGUGCAUGGUUGUCGUCAGCUCGUGUCGUGAGAUGUUGGGUUAAGUCCCGCAACGAGCGCAACCCUUAAGCUUAGUUGCCAUCAUUAAGUUGGGCACUCUAAGUUGACUGCCGGUGACAAACCGGAGGAAGGUGGGGAUGACGUCAAAUCAUCAUGCCCCUUAUGAUUUGGGCUACACACGUGCUACAAUGGACAAUACAAAGGGCAGCGAAACCGCGAGGUCAAGCAAAUCCCAUAAAGUUGUUCUCAGUUCGGAUUGUAGUCUGCAACUCGACUACAUGAAGCUGGAAUCGCUAGUAAUCGUAGAUCAGCAUGCUACGGUGAAUACGUUCCCGGGUCU